rnacentral:lncRNA from 1 species
UGUUGUGCACUCUUCCAGGCCCGCACACCCUGCACCGAGUGAGCGAGUGCUCUGGGAGCUGCUGGACCCACGGUUCGAGUCCAUCCUUGGCUCACACCCCCACAGUUACCAGCUCAAGCUCAUGGAGAGAGCCAGGAAUGCAAGGAGGAGUAAAGAACGAGAGCAAUGACUGAAAAGGGACCCAUCCCCCUGGCCGAGGUUAGAGACAUAAAUGGAAGAAACUUGUGCAUUCCCAUUUGUAUGCAGGAUAGUUUCUUGAAGGUUGAAAAGAUGUUUUCUGAUAAACAAGAUGCCUGA